UGCCCCGUGGUGUAAUGGUAACACAUCUGAUUUUGGUUCAGUUAUUCAAGGUUCGAAUCCUUGCGGGGUAG
rnacentral:tRNA from 1 species